GACGAACGCUGGCGGCGUGCUUAACACAUGCAAGUCGAGCGGUAAGGCCCUUUCGGGGGUACGACGAGCGGCGAACGGGUGAGUAACACGUGGGUGGACCUGCCCUCCAGCUCUGGGAUAAGCCUGGGAAACCGGGGUCUAAUACCGGAUAUGACUCCAUGACGCAUGUUGUGGGGUGGAAAGCCUUGUGCGGCUGAGGAUGGGCCCGCGGCCUAUCAGCUUGUUGGUGGGGUGAUGGCCUACCAAGGCGACGACGGGUAGCCGGCCUGAGAGGGCGACCGGCCACACUGGGACUGAGACACGGCCCAGACUCCUACGGGAGGGCAGCAGUGGGGAAUCUUGCGCAAUGGGCGAAAGCCUGACGCAGCGACGCCGCGUGAGGGAUGACGGCCUCGG
rnacentral:rRNA from 1 species